rnacentral:lncRNA from 1 species
UCCCUCUCUAUCUCUCUCUCUCCUAACCCUAGGCGCGCGAUCCGGCGGAGGGGGGAAUCGUGGGGUUGCUUGCCGUGGGGAUGCGGGUGCGGCGAGGGCGACGGCUUUAUUUUUAUUUUUUUCGAGGAGGAGGAGGAGGAAGCCGCGACGGCGUGAGCGGAGGAGGGAGGGAGGAGAGGAGGAAGGUGGGGGAACCAGGGUGAGGGGACAAAAUUAUUGACGACGGGGAUGGA